UACGAAGGGGGCUAGCGUUGCUCGGAAUCACUGGGCGUAAAGGGUGCGUAGGCGGGUCUUUAAGUCAGGGGUGAAAUCCUGGAGCUCAACUCCAGAACUGCCUUUGAUACUGAAGAUCUUGAGUUCGGGAGAGGUGAGUGGAACUGCGAGUGUAGAGGUGAAAUUCGUAGAUAUUCGCAAGAACACCAGUGGCGAAGGCGGCUCGCUGGGACGUCACUGACGCUGAGACGCGAAAGCGUGGGGAGCAAACAGG
rnacentral:rRNA from 1 species